rnacentral:lncRNA from 1 species
AUGAAAAAAUUUCAAAGAGAAGAUAUUUUUAGAAAGAUGUCAGAAGACGCAGAUAACAUUGCAGUAGAAGAAAAUGUAGACGAGCAUAUCCCAAAAGUUUUGAAUGUAGAAGAAAAUCGAAACAUAAUAGAAAGUCUGAGAGGCAAAGUAAGAGAAAAGCUAAAAAAUGCCAAGAUUAAUCAAGGUGAAAAAUCGUCAACUCAACUGCUCAUUGAUAAUAAGAUAUAUCAGUGGUCUAAGCUUAACCCACAGGCUGAAGUUCCACUGGAUGAAGGUCUUUCAUUUUUCAUUCUGAAUGGUGAAGAAGACUCAGCUAUAGGCCAAUCUGCAGAGCAGAGAUCAGUAAAUGGUAGUCACCACAAACAUUUUUCACUUGGUGAUGAUUUACAGAACUUUGCUGAGGGCCAAGAUGAAGAUUUUGUGGAAGAAGUCAUUUUCCCAGAUUUACUUGAAGUAAAGGCUGCCGAUUAUAAAGAUGACCAAGAACGAAUAAAAAAACAACAGGCAAAUAUUUUUGUUCCAAGUAGUUCUCCAGUGAUCAACCAGCUUAAACUGCCAGAAGAUAUGAUGCCACGCAUUUUAGAAGAAGAAGGAUUCUAUAUUCAAAAAAAGCCAGAAAUGUAUAAAAAGACCUGCAACAAAAUGGAAAAUCGUCUGCUUAAACUAGAAGAGGGAAAGUGUUGGUUUGAAGAAAGUGGAGAAAUAAUGUCAUUACCUUCACCUAUUAGACGGUCAUGGAAUUUCAGACUAAACAUAAGCAAGGAACCUUUAAAUCCAGCACUGAAGACCAUGUAUAGAAAGGCAGUGAAAUCUGAUUUAGAAAGCUCCAUUAGGAACAAAAUGGAAGGUCAAAGGGAAAUGUACCAAUUAGAUCUCAAUAUAGUGGGUUUGCAAUUCAGUCAUCAUCCUCUCUUCAAUCAAGAACAAGUAUUAUGUGCUAGGCUGCUCCAACUUUAUGAGUGUUUUCAGGACAGGCAGCAACAGAAUUUACCACAGCUGCUUUAUGAGAAGCUUAAAGCACUGACGGAUGCUACCAGAUUAGCAAAUGAAAAUUCAGAAAUAAGCCAGCUGACCAGAGAAUCUUUGCAGGAUUAUUAUUGGCAGAUAAGUGAUACAAAACAACUCUAUGAGUUAGAAAAGGAAAAGGACUUUUCCCUACUACACAGUAUAUUACGGACUUGGAAACAGAUAAAAUCCCUUCGACAACGACAAGGGUUUACAAGCACUUCAGUAAAGUUACAGUUUCAGAGGUUAAAAAUGAAUAAAUGUGAUGAACAAAAACAAGAAUUGUCAAAAAUGUCUGGGACUGAGAAGAAAACUGAAGGAAAAGCAUUUAAGAACAGGAAGAAACAGGAGAGCUUCUCAUGUUUAGCUUCAGAAUUUGAAGAAACGGAUGUUGAAAUAGUAAAUCCAAUUACCAUGAUACCACAACUUUCUUUCACAGAAGAAUUAACAAACUUAUCUAGAUGUUCACUGUAUGAACAAAAGAGGAGAGCCAAAAUUCAAAAGCUUAAAUAUUUUAUUAAAAUCUUAUACAACGAUAAACAAGUUUCUUGCACUUCAGUAUCUCCUCUACAGUUUGAUUUUAAAGUCAUGUUUCAGCAAAUUUUCAAUAUUCAGUUAAUAUAUUGGCCUGAAACAAUUUGCUUGGAGGUUUAUGAAAUAAGUAAAAGGACGUGCUUAUUGGCAAAACUAUAUUUACCCUUACCUAACAGCACAGAGUUGAAAAGCAAAACUAUUUUGGAAUAUCUAGAAUUUAGCUCUGAUAAACUGGUCAUACCUGCAUAUGGAGAAGUGGGAAGCAAUGUGCCCUUUCUUCUUGAGGAAAAUGGGACUGAAGAACUUUGUCUUUUGACAUCAGGAAAACUAAGCUAUUCUCUAUCAUGGGCCUUAGAUGAAAAGGGUGUUCCUCUGACACCUCUGUCACAGUCGUUACGAUCUGCUUUCUGCAGUGUGUUAAGGAAUGUAGAUGCAAGAGGUGUUCCUGAAAUUCCAUGGCUUAUUAAUGCACAGAAGCUUUUUGAAUGGGCCAAUGAGGUCAGAAUUGACCCAAAUAACCCAGAAUGUUCUGAUUUAAUGGAAUUUAUUACGUACAUAAAACAUAAAGGACAGGAUAUCCCAAAGUAUUUUCGUCUUGAGCAGUUGCAAGAUGAAUUUAACUUUGCUUCUGAAGAGGAAAUGAAAAAGAGUAAACGUUUCCAGCUAUUGCAACUUAGAAAUGCUGGUCAAUUAGAUGUUUUCCUUCUGCAGCAAAUGCCCCUUUAUGAUACAGAGAUUCCAGAUUUAGUCUUCCAGGAAUAUGAAAGUCAGAUAGAAAAGGAUAUGUCCAUUUCAGAUGUGAAUUCUAUUACUGCACAAAGGAUUAAUUCUGCCAAUUUUCUGAAAAAGAUGAGAAGGUUGGUAAUGAGAAGAAUUGUCAAAGUUAGCAAAUUUAACUUAUCAGAUAUUGUGGCUGAUUAUGAAGAAAUUAUAUCUGCAAGCCAGUUGACAUAUGCAGUUUGUAAACUUCUUGAACAACGAAGAAAGUUAAAGCCUCAGAGGAAAGAAAGGAAAAAAGUGGCAGCACAGACUAUCUGUGAUAGAGAUAUUAAGAUUCUUAUCAGAAUACUGAGAGCUUAUAAUAUUCCUACAAGGAGAACAACAGUUAAUAGGUCCUUGGAUAUGCCUACUUAUUUGAUAUCAUCCAUGUCUCGCCUCAGACAUAAAGAAACAAUCAAAUCAUUAACCGCAGAUGAACUCUUAAAUGAGGAUAUUGUACACCCUUUUGUGGAAGUUUCUUUUCAGCACACUGUAUACCAAACCAGCAUUGCCAGUGGAUCUCAUCCAUGCUGGAAUGAAGAAAUUAAAGUAGAUUUUGUCUUACCAGGACAUGAUUGUAACUUCUCAAGUUUAUCUAAAAUAAAAGAUAAUAUAUAUAUCAACAUUUUUGAUGAAAUGAUUAUUGAAAAGCAUGAGGAUCGCUGUUUCAAGAGCUGCAGUGCUCAUUCAUAUAUAAGAAAGAAUUGGCUUGGAUCCAUUGUCUUCCCUUUCUCUGCUCUCCUACAACAAUCUGAGAUUAGCGGAACAUUUCAAGUAAAUAUUCCACCCUUUUUGCUUGGGUAUACUUGGAGUAAGACUUAUGUGUCUCCUAAAGAAGAUUAUAAUGGACAGAAUUUAAAAGAAUGUACCUUCUUAAACAUUUUUGCUACUAUUGAACCUCAAAUAUCAUAUGCCAUCUGUAGUCCAGCACUAGACAAGUUUUCAGAUCAAAUAGACAUUUUGGAGAGAGCACGGAUUUUUACAAAAGCUUGUAAGGCAUUAUUUCCUAAACGAAGAAUCACCACUACUGUUUUUAAUGAUGAAGGGAUACAGAUCUUAGUGAUAAGAUACAUCAAGGCAUUGAAUCCACCUCAACAACUCCUGGAUAUGUUUCUUCAUGAUUCUAAUGCAAGACUUGACCUUGUUGCUCACUUUGUAUCUUUGAUUCCCAUUAUGCCUGAUGCACUGGAUGAAAAUGAUGGUUUUGAUAUAUGGAUGACAUCAGAGGGGCCCGUGGCGUAUGUAUUAACUCAGGAAACUGAUGAAUAUUUGCUUUGGAAUCCAUUAACUGGACAGUGUCAUAAGCAGUUUGACCCAUUUUGUCCGUUACAAGGUGUAGAUUGUUUGUUUGAUGGUGAAAACGUCUGGUUUAAUCUUCAGCAGAAUAAUUCACCAAUGGCUGUGUAUUUUGACUAUUCAAAGGAAAGUUUCUGGAAACAGUUGCUUCCAAAAAAUUAUCAAGGAACAAAAACACAAAGCAUUCAGCCUGAAGAAAUAAUUUAUUCUGAUACUAAUAAGAGCAUGGUAGAAGAUCUAAAGAACAGGAUUGAAAGAACUCUGAAGUGUAAAAUAAUGGAAUGGCGGCCUAAACAGCCAACACGUUGGAAUAGACAGUGUACUUUCAUUUUACGACAGAUUCUUCCUAAGUUAGAACUUGGUACUGGAAGCUUUGUUUCAUCUGAAGAAGAGAGUGAAUUUGAAAGACUACUACAAUUUUAUUGGGUCACAGGAUUUCCUAUCCAGAUGCCAUACACUGAUGUACAGUCAGUUAUUGAUGCUGUGUAUCAAACUGGAAUUCAUUCUUCUGAAUUUCCACAGACAGAAUUUGCUCUAGCUGUGUACAUUCACCCCUACCCAAACAACAUAUUAUCUGUGUGGGUCUAUUUGGCUUCAUUAGCUCGACAUCAGUGA